GGGAAUGGGUGUGGGGACUAAUGCCAGCAAUGUCCAAACAAUAGUUAUAUGUUACGUCAACUGGAAAGAGACCAACAAGAACAGUAGACGCCCUAAACGGGGUAUAAAAGUUAGACACAGACAACAGGGAGCUGAGCUUCCCUUGGUGUGUACUUUUGUGCAUCUGAGAGUGGCUCCCGGAUCGAUCUGUACAACAAAUAAAGAGAGCUGACUCACAACCAUCCUUUGCCUCACGAAUGCAUCUUUUCCUCAUCAACGGACUCGGUGGAGUCUAACUCCAACAAUUUGGGGGCUCGUCCGGGAUGAGGAGAAGGUUGUUUGGAUUGGAACCAGAGACGAGGUCUUGGGGACGCAGACAGCCACGGGCGCCCAGCAAUUAGGUGAGCAGAGCCUGUUUUAUCGAAUUCUGCAUAUUGGCGAUUGCUAAAUAAAGUGGCUGGAAGUGUCUCAGGAUCUGUCGACCAAUAUUGUGGCGAGGGCCUGUUGUGCGUAGCUCUGACGGCCUGUGAACAGAGGGUACGGGACCCCGUAGUAGAACCUAUUGGCGGAGGAUUUGAGUCCACCGUCGUGUCCUUGGUUUGGCAACCCACCUACUGCUGACCAGCAGUAGGAAAGCUGGGAUUGAGCGUCCCGGGAAAUUCAGGACCCCCGAACAGCUAAAUUGUUUGGAGGAGUAAGGUUCAUCCUCCUUAAAACGGGUUGAAGUCCCGAGGUGAAAGUCCUCAAAGUAUUGGGUUAAAUUCCCGAGAUUAGAGUACUCAAAGCAUCGGGCUAAAAAGUGUACACAGCGCUAUUUACUAUUUACUAUUUCGCGUGUGUAAGUGCGUGUUUACUAUUCACUAUUCCAGUGUGUGUGAGUGGGUUUACCAUUUACUAUUUACUGUUUUGAGUGGUUCGGUGAUUGUGUGUGAGUGUGGGUUUAGGUUUUGGUGGUGUUUGUUAGUGGGGCACUCAGAGACAACUAAGAGGUGUACUAAGUGUGGGUGGAUAAAUCCAUCCCCUGAGGCACAAGGGUUGUUGGAUCAGGAGAAGUGUAGGUCAGAUAAGCUAAAACAUGGAUCAUGAAUUUGAGAGAGAAUUGGAUGACGGAGGCUGGGGUCCACCAGUGCGCGGGCGGUGGAAGCCUCUGUGUGAGCAGAUGCAGCUGUUAAAAUUAGCAGUGGGAAAAACAGCUCAGGAAAAGGGCCGAGAGAGAGAGACGGCAGAUGCGUGGAAGCGUAUGGGGAUUUCAGUGAAAUGUGCAGGAUACAAACCGGAGGAUAAGCAAUCAUUAGGAGCACUUUUAUGGCGUAAGGAAAAGGAGCAUAAAGGCCUGAAAGAUGAGGCAGGACGCGAGCUAGUGAAAGCGAGGGUGUUACAACGGGGAAAGUGGAGAAAAGAGGGAGAGAAACAGGAGCAGGAGAGGCGAGCGUGGGCUCGCCUAGCCAUUUUCUGGCAGGGUAUCGAUCACCUGCACAGGGAAAGUGGAGAUAACGAUAACUGUGACCCAGCCCCAGAUGGGCAGGGGGCUGGGAAAGGCGACAAACAACCCCCAGCGUACACCAGCCGAGGGGGUUUUCCCACCGCUCCCCCUGCGCACAUGUAUCCAGUAAUACAUGUUACUGGUGGAACGGUUCAGGUUCAAACGAAGGGAGAAGGGAGCCUCCUAGGUGGGGAUUGCUGUAGUGUGGAGGAAAAAGAUUCAGAUUGUGAAACCUCUAGGGAAUCCGAGGGAGAGAGUAAGGGAACCCCUGGAAAAGGCAUAACUAAACAAGCAUUUCAGGAAAGGGUGAUCAGAGAGCGAAAGGAGGAGGCAGCCCAGGGUAAUCGAGGCAGCCUCACCCCUCUCUGCGAACGGAGCCGUGUCCAGAGAGGGGAAGUGGAGAUUAUCGGUGAAUUGUCUGGGUAUCGUGAUGAGGAGGAGGAUGAGGAUGAGAAGGUGUUGAUCGAUUUGGAAGGUGAGCAAGACGAAGGGCUAGAGCCUGGGAAAAGGGAAUCCUCAGGGAAAAUGACCCUCAGGUCCCGCAGUCUAAAGCGGCGAACAAACCUGAAGCCUAAGCAGUUUCCCCUGUUAAGGGGAGCUUCAGGGGACCCUGAGAGAUACAAGCCGUUCUCUUUAGGAGACGUGCAGGCACUAGCGGAUAAGAUGCCCCCCCCUGCAGAUGGGGGAGGACAUUGGAUGGAUAAAUUAGACCAGCUGACGCAGGGAACAAAGUUGGCCUUGGGUGAUUUCAGAGCAGUGGCUGCGAGGUGCCUAACUAAACACUCUCUGCAGGAAAUAGAGGAAAUGGCAGGGACACUCACUCGCGGUGACAGUGUGACUCUAACAGACGUAGUGCUGGGCUUGGGUGAAGCCAUGCGGGAGAUGUUCCCCGCCCCAAGUGGGGCUAGCGUGCCAAAAUUUACUUGGGAACCUAAAAUACCUCCCAGGGAAUAUCUGGACAAAUGUAAGGAGGACUGGAUUCGGAGAACGGGGUGUCACCCUGGGCAGGCGGGAGUUCAGCAGGAGUGGUUCAGGCGAGCGGUCCUGGAAGGUGUCCCUGAGCAGGUGAAAACAGCUAUUUUGGCGAAUCCUGAUCUCCCAGGCGCUGAUUCCCCCGUGUGGGACAGACAUGUGUUGCAUCAUCUCCAGAGAGCGAGGGAUGAAGCCACAAAAGAGGAAGGCAGCUUGAAAGAGUUACAGACACAGCUGUUGAAGCUGCAGGUGGCAGAAGCAAGACAAAAAGCACAGACUUACAAAAAGAAGGGGCAGGGGAGACAGAUGGUGGCAGGAGCACCACCUCCCCGGUUCGGCGCAUGGGUCGGACAAAACCCCAAUUACAGUAAUCGAGGUUGGGGUCCCCAGCCAUGAGGAAGAGGCCGUGGGGGUCGAGGCCGGGGAGCCGGGAACUGGGGGCGGGGCCGGGGUAUGUCGCAAAGGUGGCCACCGCAGGGAACCUGUUACAGGUGUGGUAGGGCUGGCCACUGGGUCAGAGAGUGCCCAACAGGACGGGUCCCUCCCAGGGGACCCCCAGCAGAACAAGUGACCGCACCUACCCCACAGGCUGUUCCUGGAGGGGGACAGUACCCCACCCUCACUGGAUCAGAGGACUGGGAGAGGGGGACUCCUCCACGGGAGGCCCGGGGACACGGGGAAGGCAGACCCCAUGCUGUCCCUAAUGGUCAUGGACAAAGAACUGCCGUUCUUGGUGGACACAGGGGCCACAUAUUCGACAUUGAAUGUGAUGCCUAACCAACGACAUCUUCCACCACUACAGUGACCGUUGUGGGCUUCUCCAGGAAGGAACAGAGGCUGCCAGUGACUAAGCCUGUGAGAGUGCGGUGGGGGGACAGACCUUUCUACACCCGUUUGUGGUCUCCGCUGCAGCGCCUGUGAACCUUCUGGGCGGGACAUGCUGGUGAAGCUGGGAGCUUCAAUUUUGUGCAAUGCUGAUGGUUUGGUUGUCACCCUCCCAGAAGGGAUCCGCCUGCCAUGUGGCGGAGCGACGGGUGGCAUGGGGCAGUGGCUGACUGUGGCUGCGACUGUGCCCUGCUCUGCCUAGCGGCGACGGUGCCCUGCUCUGCCUAGCGGCGACGGUGCCCUGCUCUGCCUAGCGGCGACUGUGCCCUGCUCUGCCUAGCGGCGGCUCAGCUUUACUUUGCCUUAUUGCUGCUGUCUAGUGACAUUUGCACCGUUUCGCGCUUUGCGCUUCCGGUUUGUCCAUACUCUGUCUAGCCUAUAGCAGGGUGAGUCGCAAGCGGGUCCAUAGCUGGGGGCAGGGGGGUGUGCGUGCCCACAUGAGUGCGAGCGGGGGUUGGAGAGUCUGACUGGUGCCCCGCUUCCUAAGGGUUUGUGUUUUGUUUUGAUUGUAUUAUGUUUGUUUUGUUGAUACAUUUGUUCUGUUUUGAAUGGGAUUUUUAUUGUGUAUUAAUGUAAUGGUUUUGUAUUUUAUUUGUUUCUUUUAGACUGCAGUGUUUUCUUUGGGUUUUGCGUGAUUUUGUUUGGUUUGCGGUUACAUCUUGUUUUUCCCUCCUCGCUUGUGCCCGCCCGACUCUGGCUGUUCUAGGUCCCGGCGCCCAGCCUUAGAUCGGCAGGAAGUGGCUGCUGGUACGCGGCGGUGCUCCAAGCUUAUGGUGCUCGGAUCGACUGAUUACUCUUUUUAUGGUUUUAUUGUGUAAUAAAAGUGUGUGUUCGGAACAACAUCUCUCCGCUGUCCAGUGUGGAGGACCAGUGUGCCUUUGCCCGGGGGUAGGGCGAUUUAACUUUCUCUGGGUGUAAUACCUGGGGUGGCGUAGUCGGACUAACGUGUGGCUAUUGGUACCAUUGUUUGGUACUAUUUGGCAGUAUUACUCUCACCACCACUCGCCACAUGUGGUUCCACAGAGACAGGUAAGGAUCUCUUCCAUCAGCCUUGGCCUUUGUUAGCAUUAGCUUCACUGUCUGUACUCCUCUUUCUGCCAUUCCAUUUGACUGUGCAUGGUGGGGACUUGAAGUUUUGUGAAUGAACUCCCACUUUUUCGCAAAAGCUUGGAAUUCAUAAAUUAAGAAUGGCUUGUCUGUUAAAUAAUAUUAAUAAAUAGUUGGCUAUGUCAGAUAGCUUUUGUGAGAUACCAUCUUACACUUUGUCAAUGAAAAAUAAAAAGAGAAACCUUGUUCGGGCAAAUUUGUUUGUAGAUGGGCUGGAUCUGGCUAUUUGCUGACCUAUACAAUAGGACAUGCAGGAUUAGAAGAUGGAUGGAUGGACAUACAAGUAAUUGUUUGGGGGCAGGUUGCAUAACGCUCAUGUGAUUCUUCCAUGUUCAGGAUGAUUGGGGUAGAAGCUGUUCCUCAAAGCCAUAAAUCAUCAUAUUUAAAUAACAAUGUGAUGGACAGGCACCCCUCCAGGGUGUACCCCAGCCUUGUGAUGGACAGACACCCCUCUAGUGUGUACCCCAGCCACAUGAUGGAGAGGCACCCCUCUAGCGUGUACCCCAGCCACGUGAUGGACAGACAUCCCUCUAGCGUGUACCCCAGCCUUGUGAUGGACAGACACCCCUCUAGUGUGUACCCCAGCCACAUGAUGGAGAGGCACCCCUCUAGCGUGUACCCCAGCCACGUGAUGGACAGACAUCCCUCUAGUGUGUACCCCAGCCACGUGAUGGACAGACACCCCUCUAGCAUGUACUCCAGCCACGUGAUGGACAGGCACCCCUCCAGGGUGUACCCCAGCCACGUGAUGGACAGACAUCCCUCUAGCGUGUACCCCAGCCACGUGAUGGACAGGCACCCCUCUAGCGUGUACCCCAGCCACGUGAUGAACAGACACCCCUCUAGCGUGUACUCCAGCCACGUGAUGGACAGGCACCCCUCCAGGGUGUACCCCAGCCACGUGAUGGACAGACAUCCCUCUAGCGUGUACCCCAGCCACGUGAUGGACAGACACCCCUCUAGCGUGUACCCCAGCCACAUGAUGGACAGGCACCCGUCCAGUUCAUGGUAUGGCUCUGCUGGUCACAAUUUAGCUGAAGAAACGGCACUGAUCAUCAGAAAGGUCCAGUGGAAUCAUGAAGUCCCAUCAGAUCUCUGCCUUCUUCCUCCUGAUGACAGUGCUGCUGUCCUCCACUCUGGCUCAACAUGGCAAUAGACCAAAGCAGUGCUGUUUUGCAUACUUACCUAUAAAAGUGAGGAUGGACCUGAUAGAUAGAUAUGAGGAGACCAGACAGGACUGCGCUAAACCUGGAACUAUAUUUUACACCAAAAAGGGCAAAGAAGUGUGUGUCGAUCCCAGUGAUCCUUGGGUUCAGCGGACAAAGAAGAAGCUGGAUCAGCGCUUAUUUCAAUCUGUCAGUGGCGGACUGGGACAAUAAUUCAGGCCGGGAAUUUGACUCCACUCCCAGGCCACCUCUGCUGCUGCAGUCACAUUUACCAGUAACUUUCACUACAUCAAUCACACGUUCCAAGACCUGCCUUCUCUUUCUAACCUGGUCUCAAUGGACGGUCAUUUGCUUAUCAGUCAGAAGGGUAUGGAUAUCUGCUUUGUUGACUCUAAGAAAAAAGGCUUCAGCACUUUCUCUAUGGAUACUGCUUCUCUCAUGUUCCUGUACUCUCUGAUGGGUAUGUUUCCAGGCCUGCAUACCUCCUUUGACAAAUGCACUGUCACUGCCUAAAGGUUUUGCAAAUGCAAGACAUACUGAGCAGAAUAGGGAGUGAUUACUUUCAUUGUAUGUCAGCCAUUUUCUGUUUGUGCCAUCUUUUGAAUGUAAUACAUCAGGAAUGGCUCUUUCAGAUGUUUGAAUUGGGUGAUACUUAAAAAAAAAUCUAAAUCCUUAGACUGUGGACGGGCAAAAUAAUCAAAAGAGAUAUCAAGGCUUUCACUGUCUCCUUCACCUUUCCCUGAAUCAUUCUCUCUCUCACUCUGCACAUCUAGUUGCUCUGCAAUAUGAAAUAAGCGGGUUCAAUAAUCUGUAUUUAUAAUUGUGCAGCCAUCAGUUGUAUGUCCCCAAAAUCACAGUCCUACUACUGAUCUUAUAAAUCAUAAAAAGCACAUGUUGUUUAAAAAGUAUAGCCUGCUGGCUGCAUGUUUAGUUUUGCUUAUCUUAAACUUUACCUGAAGGUUCCUGCUCUGACUCAAACGCUGAACUGUCCACCACCUCUAGCUCAACAGCAGGAGCAUUUGCAGCACUAGUGCUACUGACGCUUCCUUCGUCACCUUUUCAAAAUUAAUAAAUAAACAAACAAACAUUGUAGGCUACAUAUUGUAGACUAGAAAUGAAAAAUCAAAAUAACUAAUACUGUAUUCUUUUCCAUACCAUCUACUUGAUUUAUUUAUUAUUUAAAACAAUUUGACCCACUAACACUAUUCUGUCUACUUUUUAUUCAUUUUUAUUUAUUAUAUAAAAAAUAUGCUACAUGUAGACGAAACGAAACUUGACACAGCACAGCAGCACUUACAUAUUGUUGCUCGUUUGUUGGUUUAAUUUUAUCUAUUGUGAUUAUCUAAGUGAUUUGGAUGAAAGUGUUCGUCUGCCAAAUUAUUAUAAAUAUAAUGUAAAUGUGGGGCGGCAUGGUGGUGCAGUGGUUAGCACUGUUGCCUCACACCUCUGGGACCCGGGUUCGAGUCUCCGCCUGGGUCACAUGUGUGUGGAGUUUGCAUGUUCUCCCCAUGUCGUCGUGGGGUUUCCUCCGGGUACUCUGGUUUCCCCCCACAGUCCAAAAACAUGCUGAGGCUAAUUGGAGUUGCUAAAUUGCCCAUAGGAGUGCAUGCGUGAGUGACUGGUGUGUGAGUGUGCCCUGCGAUGGGCUGGCCCCCCAUCCUGGGUUGUUCCCUGCCUCGUGCCCAUUGCUUCCGGGAUAGGCUCCGGACCCCCCGUGACCCAGUAGGAUAGGCGGUUUGGAAAAUGGAUGGAUGGAUGGAUAAUGUAAAUGUAAUCUUGACCAACCUGUUCCCUUACUGGCGAACAUGGCUGGGAUUUUGCAGCUGCGUCUGCGGCCAGGGCUUUUUUCCUUUUUAUACGCUCCCUCUCUGCUCCUCCUCUGCGUUUACGCUCCAUUUUUUGAACGAUUUAGUCAGAUUUACCCUGUCUCUGGAUAUAGCCAGAUAUUAGGCAGUGCGUCGCUGACGUUGGGUCAUGUGGGAGUGUAAUUUUCCCUCCGCCAUUGCCUGAUUCGUAGAUUGAGAGAUCCGUCAAUUAAUUCGUAGUUGCACACCAGCCUAUCACAUGCCAGGCUGAUCGUCUGCACAGCGGCAGCCGGCAGGCCAGAACGACCGUCAGGCCACCGGGAAAUGUCCCGGUGCUCCCGAUGGCCAGUCCGCCCCUGGUCAUUAAUGUUGGUUGUCGCCUGUCUGUGGUUUCCCUGUCUGCCCGAAAUAAACCCCGUUUUCCCGUA